rnacentral:rRNA from 1 species
AUACGGAGGAUGCAAGCGUUAUCCGGAUUUAUUGGGUUUAAAGGGUGCGUAGGCGGUUUGCUAAGCGGGAGGUGAAAUGCCGGCGCUCAACGUCGGAAGUGCCUCCCGAACUGGUGGACUUGAAUGACUCUGCCGUGGGAGGAAUGGGUAGUGUAGCGGUGAAAUGCUUAGAGAUUACACAGAACACCGAUUGCGAAGGCAUCUCACGAAGGGUUGAUUGACGCUGAGGCACGAAAGCGUGGGGAUCAAACAGGAUUAGAUACCCUGGUAGUCCACGCAGUAAACGAUGAUUACUAGCUGUUUGCGAUACAAUGUAAGCGGCUGAGCGAAAGCGUUAAGUAAUCCACCUGGGGAGUACGUUCGCAAGAAUGAAACUCAAAUGAAUUGACGGGG